rnacentral:rRNA from 1 species
UACGUAGGGUGCAAGCGUUGUCCGGAAUUAUUGGGCGUAAAGAGCUCGUAGGCGGUCUGUCGCGUCUGCUGUGAAAACCUGGGGCUUAACCCCGGGCCUGCAGUGGGUACGGGCAGACUAGAGUGUGGUAGGGGAGACUGGAAUUCCUGGUGUAGCGGUGAAAUGCGCAGAUAUCAGGAGGAACACCGGUGGCGAAGGCGGGUCUCUGGGCCAUAACUGACGCUGAGGAGCGAAAGCGUGGGGGAGCGAACAGG